UAAAAAUAUUAAUAUUUAAUUAUUCAUCGGUAAAACUUUUGAUAUAUAAAAAGCCCCAAAUUAAAAAACUAAAAUCACCACAGACGUGUUUCUCUCCUCUUCUCUAUUCCUUUGCAUUUCUCUUUCUUUCUUUCUCUUCUCUCCCUCCUAAAGUCCUUCUCUUCUUUUCUAUUCUCCUCCACGCGUGUUGGCCGAAAUUCACAACGAAAUCAAGGAAAAAUCUACUAACCAAAUGCAGGAGAAAUAUGAGAACGAUCCUUCUGGAUUUGUGGUCAAAGGCUGAAUCGUCCGAUGGACCUGAUAAAAAUCGAGUUUACGAUAUCGACCGCUGGUUCCUCACAAUAGGGUUCGAGCUCCCAAUUGUACAAGAAUAAGUUGAAGCUCAAACGACCCAACAUAAUAUUGAGAUGACCAAGCUUAAGUCCGAGACGAUCGAACUUAGGUGAUUGUACAUGAAGCUGUUGUCAAACCUCGGUGGUACAUGUGGUCUACCUCGUCGCGCAACCGGUCUUGGCGAAGAUACACCUCCUCCUCCUCCUCCUCCAACUUCAUUCCUUUAGAUAAAUUGUAUUCAAAUUGAAUUUUUUUUUAAAAUAGUAAUAAAUAUUUGAUUUUUUAUUUUAGUUUUAUUUCUGUUUUUUUUUAAUAUUGUUGGAAUUACUUAUGGAUUAAGUCUCUUAGAA